rnacentral:rRNA from 1 species
AAUGAACGUUGGCGGCAUGGAUUAGGCAUGCAAGUCGGGGGAAUCCCAGCAAUGGGGGAACCGGCGUAAGGGGCAGUAAGGCAUGGGUACCUACCUUGGGGUUCGGGAUAGCCAUCAGAGAUGGUGGGUAAUACCGGAUGACGUCGUGAGACCAAAGAUUCAUCGCCCUUAGAGGGGCCCAUGUGAUAUUAGCUAGUUGGUGGGGUAACGGCCCACCAAGGCGAAGAUGUCUAGCGGGUGUGAGAGCACGACCCGCGCCACUCGCACUGAGACACUGGCGAGACACCUACGGGUGGCUGCAGUCGAGGAUCUUCGGCAAUGAGCGCAAGCUUGACCGAGCGAUGCCGCGUGAGCGAUGAAGGCCUUCGGGUUGUAAAGCUCUUUAGUGGGGGAGAAAAGCCGCAAGGUGUGAUCUAUCCCAAAAAUAAGCACGGGCUAAGUUCGUGCCAGCCGCCGCUGUAA